rnacentral:rRNA from 1 species
CCCUUAGAUGUUCUGGGCCGCACGCGCGCUACACUGAUGCAUUCAACGAGCCUAUCCUUGACCGACAGGUCCGGGUAAUCUUUGAAUCUGCAUCGUGACGGGGAUAGAUUAUUGCAAUUAUUAAUCUUCAACGAGGAAUGCCUAGUAGGCGCAAGUCAUCAGCUUGCGUCGAUUACGUCCCUGCCCUUUGUACACACCGCCCGUCGCUCCUACCGAUUGGGUGUGCUGGUGAAAUGUUCGGAUCGGCCGUUGGUCGCGGUUUCCGCGUCAUGUGGCUGAGAAGUUCAUUAAACCCUCCCACCUAGAGGAAGGAGAAGUCGUAACA